rnacentral:rRNA from 1 species
AGUUUCUGACCUAUCGGCUUUAGACGGUAGGGUAUUGGCCUACCGUGGCUAUGACGGGUAACGGGGAAUUAGGGUUCGAUUCCGGAGAGGGAGCCUGAGAAACGGCUACCACAUCUAAGGAAGGCAGCAGGCGCGCAAAUUACCCAAUCCUAAUACAGGGAGGUAGUGACAAGAAAUAACAAUACAGAGCCUUACGGUUUUGUAAUUGGAAUGAGUUAAGUAUAAACCCCUUAACAAGUAUCAAUUGGAGGGCAAGUCUGGUGCCAGCAGCCGCGGUAAUUCCAGCUCCAAUAGCGUAUAUUAAAGUUGUUGCAGUUAAAAAGCUCGUAGUUAAUUUUCUGUUAAUUUUUAUAUACAAUGCUACGGUAUUUAUAUAAUAUUAACAUAAUUCAUAUUACUUUUUAAGUAUAUGAAACUUUACUUUGAGAAAAUUAGAGUGCUUAAAGCAGGCUAUUGCCUUGAAUACUCCAGCAUGGAAUAAUAUUAAGGAUUUUUAUUCUUCUUAUUGGUUCUAGAAUAAAAAUAAUGAUUAAUAGGGACAGUUGGGGGCAUUUGUAUUUAACAGUCAGAGGUGAAAUUCUUAGAUUUGUUAAAGACAAACUACUGCGAAAGCAUUUGCCAAGGAUGUUUUCAUUAAUCAAGAACGAAAGUUAGGGGAU